UACGGGGGGGGGCAAGCGUUGUUCGGAAUUACUGGGCGUAAAGGGCUCGUAGGCGGCCAACUAAGUCAGACGUGAAAUCCCCAGGCUCAACCUGGGAACUGCGUCUGAUACUGGUUGGCUUGAAUCCGGGAGAGGGAUGCAGAAUUCCAGGUGUAGCGGUGAAAUGCGUAGAUAUCUGGAGGAAUACCGGUGGCGAAGGCGGCAUCCUGGACCGGCAUUGACGCUGAGGAGCGAAAGCCAGGGGAGCAAACGGG
rnacentral:rRNA from 1 species